rnacentral:other from 1 species
GAAAUCCUGGAAUGUGCGACACCCCUUUUAUUUUUGAACCUACAUUGACAUCAUGGGAAUCCAACAUCGCAUGCCGGAUGUCAGGCCUCUCGUUGUGGAAGGCAGAAGGUAUGUUGAGGAUACCCACCUAGCUUAGGCUAGGCGUCAAAAGAAAGGGAACGGCAUUCUGGGACUGCU